rnacentral:rRNA from 1 species
UACGUAGGGGGCGAGCGUUGUCCGGAUUUACUGGGCGUAAAGGGUGCUCAGGCGGUUUUGUAAGUCAGAGGUGAAAUUCUAAAGCUUAACUUUGGAACUGCCUUUGAUACUAUAGAACUUGUGUACGGAAGAGGCUGAUGGAAUUGCUGGUGUAGCAGUGAAAUGCGUAGAUAUCAGCAAGAACACCAGUGGCGAAGGCGGUCAGCUGGUCCGUUACAGACACUAAAGCACGAAAGCAUGGGGAGCAAACAGG